rnacentral:rRNA from 1 species
AUUGAACGCUGGCGGCAGGCCUAACACAUGCAAGUCGAACGAGUGGCGGACGGGUGAGUAAUGUCUGGGAAACUGCCUGAUGGAGGGGGAUAACUACUGGAACCGGUAGCUAAUACCGCAUACCAUCGGAUGUGCCCCGAUGGGCUUAGCUAGGAGGGGGGGUAAAGGCUCACCUAGGCGACGAUCCCUAGCUGGUCUGAGAGGAUGACCAGGCAAACUGGAAAUGGGACACGGUCCCGACGCCGACGGGAGGCAGCAGUGGGGAAUAUUGCACAACGGGCGCAAGCCUGAUGCAGCCAUUCCGCGUGUAUGAAGAAGGCCUUCGGGUUGUAAAGUACGUUCAGCGGGUAGGCGUUACCCGCAGAAGAAGCACCGGCUAACUCCGUGCCAGCAGCCGCGGUAAUAC